UCCUCCAUUGGGGGCCCUGUGUUCCAUCAAAUAGAUGACUACAUAGAGAACCCUGUCUCAAAAAAUAAAUAAAGAUAAAAAUAAAUAAUAAUAACUUAGAACCAAACGCAAAGUAAUUUCCUUUUUAUUGGAUAUUUUCUUUCUUUAAUUUAUUUAUUUUAUUUUUUUCUUUUUAUAAAAUUUAUUUUUUUACACUCCAGAUUUUAUUCCCCCUCAUCCACUCACUGACUAUUCCUUAUCCCAUACCUCCUCACCACUGCCUUGUCUCCAAGAGUAUGUCCUUAUUUAUUUACAUUUGAAGUUCUAUCCCCUUUCCUGGUUUCCUACCCCCUAACUUCCUUUUUUGUUUCCCCUCCCCCUGUCUCCAUGAGGGUGUUCCCCCACCCACCUACUCUCUCUGGCCUCUGUGCUUUCUCAUUCCCCUACACUGGGGCUUUGAGCAUUAACAGGAACAAAGGCCUCUCCUUCCACUGAUGCUCAACAAGGCCAUCCUCAGCUACAGUACACAUACAUGGAGCUAUGUGUACUCCUAGGUAAGUUGCUCAGUUCCUAGGAGCUCUGGGGGAUCUGUUUGGUUGAUAUUGCUUUUCUUUGAAUGGCAUUACAAAUCCCUUCAGCUCUUUCAGUCCUUUCUCUAAAUUCUCCAUUGGGGAAUCCAUGCCCAGUUCAAUAGUUGGCUGCGAGCAUGAGCAUCUGCCUCUGUAUUUGUCAGGAUCUGGCAGAGCCUCUCAGAAGACAGCUAUAUCAGGCUCCUGUCAGCAUGAACUUCUUGGCAUCCACAAUAGUGUCUAUGUUUGGUGACUGUGUAUGGGAUGGAUGCCCAGGUGGGAUAAUCUCUGGAUGGCCUUUCCUUCAGUUUCUGCUCCAUAUUUUGUCUCCAUAUUUACUCCUGUGAGUAUUUUGUUCACCCUUCUAAGAAGGACUGAAGCAUCCACACUUUGGUCUUCCUUAUUCUUGAGUUUCAUGUGGUCUGUGAAUUGUAUCUUGGUUAUUCCAAGCUUCUGGGCUAAUAUCCACAUAUCAGUGAGUGCAUACCAUUUUCUUCUUUGUGAUUGGGUUACCUCACUCAGUAUAUUUUCUAGUUCCAUCCACUUGCCUAAUAACUUCAUGAAUUUAUUGUUUUUAAUAGUUGAGUAGUAUUCCAUUGUGUAAAUAUAAAAUAUUUUUUGGAUCCAUUCUCUGCUGAAGGAAUCUGGGUUCUUUCCAGCUUCUAUCUAUUAUAUAUAAGGCUGAUAUGAACAUAGUGGAGCAUAUGUCAUUGUUAUAUAUUGGGGCAUCUUUUGGGUAUAAGCCUAGAAAUUACGGUAUAGCUGGGUCCUCAGCUAUACCAAUUUUCUAUGUCCGAUUUUCUCAGGAACUGCCAGACAGAUUUCCACAGUGGUUGUACCAGCUUGCAAUCUUACCAACAAUGGAGUAGUGUUCCUCUUUCUCCACAUCCUCACCAGCAUCUGCUGUUGCAGGUGACAAUGGCAUUUUAAAAAUCUACUUCCAUAUUACCUUGCUACAGAAAUUACAAAAAUUUGAAUCAGAAAAAAAAAAGCAUUAACAUGACUGAAGUAGAGUAUUAUAUCACAGCAAAGUAAUUUCUAAUACUGCCUAGGUUUAUUUCUUUAAUAAAGUUAUCAGUCAGGAGAAGAGACAAAAUAGUGCAAACAGAGUAUAGUUGAUUUUGAAAGUUCUAGAAUUAAGAAUCUAAGUAGAAGGAGGGUUAAUUAUGGAGACUUUACAUAUUACUGGAGAAUUUAUCAGUGAUUAUUUGAAAAUUUAUGAUAUAACUUUCCUAUGUCCAAAAAAUAGGAGGAAGAAUUAAAGGGAGUAAAUUGAAGAUGCAAUGAAAGUCUGAGCAUAAAUCAAUAUAAUGAAAAAUAG
rnacentral:lncRNA from 1 species